AGAAAGCCGACCAGUUCCCUGCUAGACGCACGAGAGAGUGAGAGAGCCCGCCCAAACCGCACCCACGCCCCGCGCCCGCCACGCCGGUCCGGUCGCCGGUCGCCGGCCGCGGGGUUCCCACGCCCCCAUGCUGCCCUUGUGAGCCCAUUGAUACCACCACCGCCUCCAUCCGCUUCCCCUGCCGCCGCCCGAUCCCACCACCGCCUUUGUCGUCGUUGCCUCACCGCCACCGCCACCUCCUCAUCCCGAGCGGCUCGUGUCCCUCCUCCUCCCGCUCGGCCGCCAUCCGGUCCCAGCACCUCCCGCUCGGCCGCCACCUGUCCCCUGCAGCUCCCGACGUCGUCGCAUCCCGUGCACCACCUCGUCCUCCUCCACCACCCACCUCCGCCUCCCACUGCGGCCACCCAUCGUCACCGAACGCGGCGUCCGCAGCCCCGCGUGGCCCUCCUUCCUCCGCCUCGGCUGAAGACCCCACCGCCCGGCGCUCCCCGCACACCAACUGUUCGGGGAAUUGCCCGACCCAACUAGCCUUCUGAUACAAAUCAUGGACCAGAUAGGGGAGGAGCAUUUCCCAUGGAAGGGGAAGGAUAAAGUUGAAGAAUCUCGUGCUAGAGCCACUGGACUUUAUGGAGAGACAAUGGAUUUGUUUAUCGGGAAAUAUACCAUGGGCAUCUAUGAAAGAGAUGUACUAAUCAAGAAAGGGGUACAAUUGAAGAGGGAGACAUUUGAGUUACUUUCCGAGUUCUUCCAUCCUAAUGUUGUUUGCAUCCUGGACUUCAUUGAUGAAGACAAAAACCGUGUCAGUUUUGUUGUUUCCAACGUUGAUGCGUCAUUCUUAGCUUGGUUGAAAGCAGAAGGCAAACAAAAACAACUUAUGUUUGAUGAAAAUGGAAAGAUGAAAACUUUGUUUAGGGACAUGAUUAUGUAGGUUUACUUCUUGUUCAUUCAUCAAUUAUAGUGUUUUAUUUCUUUCCAUAAA